CCGAAUUUCAACGGUUUCUCAUCGGUUACAAGGGUCUUGAAUUGAAUAAAUAUUCUAAUAUGGGCAAAAAUGUCCAAAAAUUAUUGGGGCAAGUGAACUCACAGACUGUUUCGUUCCCAAAGUUGACCAAUCAACCGACAUUCACUUCGUCUUCUCCGGUGAAGUUUACUGGCUGUGAACACUUCACUUUCCAAUUUGACCCAGUGCAGAAGUUUACUAGCUGUGACCGAGAUUCACUUUCCUCUCUGUCUCGUCACUUCCGACCUCCCCAGUCUCCCUAUCCGUCCCACCACUAACCCCAACCCCACAUCCAACUCCGACGACGAUGACCCCUUUGAGCCCACAAGUUUCAUCACUGCUUUCACCACGGCCGUGCCCAGAUUGUUGGCGUUGAUGGCAAGCGGGUCCUAGAAACAACUGUUAAGGCUGGUAAUCUGUUCAUAGUUCCCAGGUUUUUCGUUGUCUCGAAAAUUGCUGAUGCUGAUGGUCUCGAGUGGUUCUCUAUUGUCACAACUCCAGAUCCCAUUUUCACUCACAUGGCUGGAAGAACAUCGGUCUGGAAGGCCUUAUCCCCGGAAGUGCUGCAGGCUUCCUUCAAGGUGUCCCCAGAAGUGGAGCAACAAUUCCGCUCAAAGAGGACCGCAGAAGAAAUCUUCUUUCCACCAAAUUAAAGCGGGUUUCCCCAGUUCUUCAAAUAAGUCUAGUCUCAAGUAUAACGAGGUCGGAUGUCUCAGUACCGUAUUAGGUGGUUUUCCGGUGCUUAACACUGGAGUGACUGGACACAAAAAAGCUUGAUAUGAAUGCUUCCUUUUCUUGCUCUUUUUUCA